rnacentral:rRNA from 1 species
AAUUUUGGACAAUGGGGGAAACCCUGAUCCAGCCAUCCCGCGUGUGCGAUGAAGGCCUUCGGGUUGUAAAGCACUUUUGUCAGGGACGAAAAGGUUUUGGAUAAUACCCGGAACUGAUGACGGUACCGUAAGAAUAAGCAUCGGCUAACUACGGGCCAGCAGCCGCGGUAAUACGUAUGGUGCAAGGGUUAAUCGGAAUUACUGGGCGUAUAGCUUGCGCAGACGGUUCGGAAAGAAGGAUGUGAAAUCCCAGGGCUCAACCUUGGAACUGCAUUCUUAACUACCGAACUAGAGUAUGUCAGAGGGGGGUAGAAUUCCGCGUGUAGCAGUGAAAUGCGUAGAUAUACGGAGGAAUACCGAUGGCGAAGGCAGCCCCCUGGGAUAAUACUGACGCUCAUGCACGAAAGCGUGGGUAGCAAACAGG